UAAUUGAAGGGUUUGAUCCUGGCUCAGAAUGAACGUUGGCGGCGUGGAUUAGGCAUGCAAGUCGAGCGAGAAGAGUUUUUUGCUUGCAUUAAACUCGGAAAGCGGCGAAAGGGAGAGUAACGCGUAGAUACCUGCCCCUAGGUCUGGGAUAGCGUCGGGAAACUGGCGGUAAUACUAGAUAAUGUCCCUGGACCAAAGGUGUGAUUCCGCCUAGGGAUGGAUCUGCGUCCUAUUAGCUUGUUGGUGAGGUAAUGGCUCACCAAGGCGAUGAUGGGUAGCGGGCGUGAGAGCGUGGCCCGUCUCACUGGGACUGAGACACUGCCCAGACGUCUACGGACGGCUG
rnacentral:rRNA from 1 species